rnacentral:misc_RNA from 1 species
GCAAACUUGGUCAUUUAGAGGAAGUAAAUGUCGUAACAAGGUUUCCGUAGGUGAACCUGCGGAAGGAUCAUUAACAGAGUUAGGGUCUCUCCAGGCCCGACCUCCCAACCCUGUGUCUAAUUUACCCACGUUGCUUCGGCGGGUCGGACUCUUCUCUCUCGGGAGAACCGGCCGCCGGGGAGGGAGGAUAACACCUCCUCCCCGGAGAGCACCCGUCAGGAGGCCUUUUACAACUUCUAUGAUACAAAACCCGUGUCGUCUAAAUGAUACGAUUCUUUGUGAAUCACAAAUAACAUAAAACUUUCAACAACGGAUCUCUUGGUUCUGGCAUCGAUGAAGAACGCAGC